rnacentral:lncRNA from 1 species
AGGGUGGAGGCGCCUUUCAUCUUGACAGCACGGGGACUGCUGGGGUCACUGCACAUCUGCGCUGCCGGGGAGACAAAGGGCAAGAAGACCCAGCAGACAUGAGUGAAAACAGCUGCCUGCACAAGUUGUCCCCUAACAGGUACAGCCAAGAGUCAGAAGCACAGAGGGAGCUGGGGAAGCGACAUUUCUUACAGAGCCCACUGCUGUCCCUGUGUGAAGUGGCUCAUAUCAGCUCUCGAUUCUAUGCCGGUGUUCUGGAUUUCCUCUUGAGAUGUGCAUUUGUAUCAGCCAUCCUGUCCCCUGUGCCUCUGACGAGCUCCCUUCUGGAUGGCCUGCUGUCAUGCUGAGAUGACCCUUCACUAACAUCUGAGAAGUCCCUUUGCUGUUCUACGGUGUGGAAAACUUGUUUCCUCCAUCUCAUGUCUUCUUCCUUGCUUAAUUCCUUUGUUUAAUGAAACAAAUUAAUUCCUUUGUUAAUGAAACUUCCCAAUAGUUUCCUAAGAAAAGUGUGUAAGUGGUCAACUAUUUGCAACCUAAUAUGUCUGAAAAUUCUACAUAUACUUUUAACAUGUAGUUUGAUUGGGUAGAUGAGUCCAGUGUGGAAAUAUUUUUUCAAAAAUUAGAAGCUAUUGCACUAUUGUCUUGUAGUAUGGUGUGUUGCUUUUGAGAAGUUGUAAGCCAUUUUUUUUUUUAAUCCUUUGUGUGUUUAUAUCUUUUCUUCUGUUUUUGCACCUCACAACCUUUUAUUUAUUUUUUCUCAUCAAUGCAAUAAACUUUCAUGAUGACAGGGCUUGUGUGGGUCAUGCUGUUCAAUUCUGGGAAAUUUCCUUGACUGACUUUAUUGGUGAUUUCCUCCUCUC